GUGGGCGUGAUGUAAUUGGCAAACAUGCGAGAUUUAGGUUCUCGUGUCGAGAGAUGUGCGGGUUCGAAUCCCGUCGCCCACUCCA
rnacentral:tRNA from 1 species